UGGAUGUGCUAUUCUAAUUUGAGUGAUUGUGUACAAGGCUUUGAAGACUGACAUUCGUGGUAGCCCCCGGAGGAGGAUAAUAAGGAAUCAAAUGAAUGGCCACAAAGACCAUAGUCCUUGUUUAGAUGCUCGUUAUUUGAGGGAGACACACCCAAAUCGCAUACCAGUGAUUUUGAAGAAGGAUGCAAGUAGUGACAUUCCUGACAUGGACGGGGAGAAGUGCUUUUAUGUCUACAAUCGAUGAGGAAAAUAAGGAUGAAGAUGGAUUU